UGACCACAGACUGGCAAGGAGGCAG
rnacentral:misc_RNA from 1 species